rnacentral:rRNA from 1 species
AGAGUUUGAUCCUGGCUCAGAACGAACGCUGGCGGCGUGCCUAACACAUGCAAGUCGAGCGCGAACGGAGCAAUCCGAGUAAAGUGGCGCACGGGUGAGUAACGCGUGGGUAACCUACCCUUGAAUUGGGGAUAACUCUUCGAAAGGGGAGUUAAUACCGAAUAAUAUUCCAAUUCCUUCGGGGGUUGGAAUCGAAGGUGGCCUCUGUUUACAAGCUAUCGUUUAAGGAUGGGCCCGCGUACCAUUAGCUAGUUGGUAGGGUAAUGGCCUACCAAGGCAACGAUGGUUAGCUGGUCUGAGAGGAUGGCCAGCCACACUGGAACUGAGAUACGGUCCAGACUCCUACGGGAGGCAGCAGUGGGGAAUCUUGCGCAAUGGGGGAAACCCUGACGCAGCAACGCCGCGUGGGUGAUGAAGGCCUUCGGGUCGUAAAGCCCUGUCAGGUGUGAAGAAACUUGUGGAUGUUAAUACCGUCCACACUUGACGGUACCACCGGAGGAAGCACCGGCUAACUCCGUGCCAGCAGCCGCGGUAAUACGGAGGGUGCAAGCGUUGUUCGGAAUUAUUGGGCGUAAAGCGCGUGUAGGUGGUCAGGUAAGUCAGAUGUGAAAGCCUUCUGCUUAACAGAAGAAGUGCAUUUGAAACUGCUUGGCUAGAGUACGGGAGAGGAGAGUGGAAUUCCCGGUGUAGAGGUGAAAUUCGUAGAUAUCGGGAGGAACACCAGUGGCGAAGGCGGCUCUCUGGUCCGAUACUGACGCUGAGACGCGAAAGCGUGGGGAGCAAACAGGAUUAGAUACCCUGGUAGUCCACGCCGUAAACGAUGGGCACUAGGUGUAGGAGGUAUUGACCCCUUCUGUGCCGAAGCUAACGCAUUAAGUGCCCCGCCUGGGGAGUACGGCCGCAAGGCUAAAACUCAAAGGAAUUGACGG